UACAGAGGUCUCAAGCGUUUGUUCGGAUUCAUUGGGCGUAAAGGGUGCGUAGGCGGUCUGUCGCGUCGGUCGUGAAAACUUGGGGCUUAACCCUGAGCUUGCGGUCGAUACGGGCAUGACUGGAGUUCGGCAGGGGAGACUGGAAUUCCUGGUGUAGCGGUGAAAUGCGCAGAUAUCAGGAGGAACACCGGUGGCGAAGGCGGCAUCCUGGACCAACACUGACGCUGAGUGAGCGAAAGCCAGGGGAGCAAACGGG
rnacentral:rRNA from 1 species